GAAACUCGCCUACAUGAAGCUGGAGUUACUAGUAAUCGCAGAUCAGAAUGCUGCGGUGAAUGCGUUCCCGGGCCUUGUACACACCGCCCGUCACACCACGGAAGUUGGGGCGCCCGAAGCCACUUAGCUAACCCAUUUGGGAAGCGAGUGUCGAAGGUGAAAUCAAUAACUGGGGUGAAGUCGUAACAAGGUACC
rnacentral:rRNA from 1 species